rnacentral:lncRNA from 1 species
UCUCUCCAACCCAGCCUCAACCCAGCCUCCAGUAUGAUCUCGUUAAAACAGAGCUGGCCACCCACCUCUCCUGCUUGAAAUUCUUCCCAGGGGCCUUGCUGCUUCCAGGAUGAAAUUUAAACUCCCUGUCUGGCUCACUGGGACCUUUUGGACCCAGACUCUGCUUGCCCCACUCCCAGCCUCCUCUCCCAUCGUUCUCCACUCCUCCACCUUCACAUGCUGGAGUCAUUUCCAAGGACAUCAUUAUCUUCAUCAUUUUCAUAAUCAACCAUUUUGGUAAUAAAACCCACAAUUUCCUCUUACUGAAUGCAAAUAGCUGUGCAAGGCAAAGCGUGAACAUUCGGUAUCUUUGCAAAUGCCAUUCCCAACCAGAAGUCCUGACUCUCCCCUGCUGUGACCCAACGUGCCGGGCUUCUCGGUUCCUUAAACCCCGGUCUCGUUUUCCACCUCGAGCUCCUUGGGGUGUGGUGCCGUCUUGCUUGUGGAGCCUCCCUGGCACCUAAGUGUUUGACAUGCUGCAAAUUAAAUGCUCAAUAAAACGUUGGAGAAAAGAAUGAAUCAAAGCCACUAUUCCCUUCCUCUUCCUCGGAGCCUGCUCGCAAUGACUCCUCCUCCUUUGUGGGGGGGGCUGGUUUCUGAGAACAGCAUGGGCAGGAGUCCUUGGGCCGUUCCACUGGGGAGGUAGGAGGCGGUGUUCUGAGUGCAUCAGGCAUCUCUCAUCUCCACUCCUUUCAUCUCUGCUACUACCCUACAGAGUAGAUUCUGUUAUUACACCAGUUUUACAGAUCAAGAAACCAAGGCACUAAGAGAUUAAGACCUGCCCCACAUGUCACAGCUGGUGUGAGUUGUGAUGAACUGGGGUUUGAAGGAGAGCAAACUGCCUCCCGGGGGCCUGUGGGCCCGGCCACCCCUCCAGUGCCUCCUCCGUGGACCGAGCACUCGCCACGCGAGAAGCCCCAUGCAGGUGCCUGCAGUCCUUCCCGGCUCCUCCCGAGACGCGCUGGCAGCUGCCCUGUGUUAGAGAUGGGCACAGCCUCGCUCAGGCUAAGAUGUCACACUCGCAAGAAGGAGCCUCUUGACUGACGUGCAGAAGUCGCCUUUAACCUUCUUUCCAGGCUCCACCGAGGGAAUGGUCUGUGGGGAAUGGUCCUGAGAAGAGCGCAGCUUCUAGCCGCAGGGGGCUCGGACCCGCUGCCCCAGCGCAGACCCGGGGAGCCCGGAUGGCUCCAGCGGCAGUUUGGACCUCUCAAGAUUAAGCUGGUGGCCUGGAGGCCAGUGUCUGAGGACCCGGGAGAGGCAUGCUGUUGCUGUGGCUGCGUUACAGAGGAGAACACAGGGCCACAGAGACCAAGCAGCUCAUCAAGGGUCACGAAACCAGCAACGCCAAGCGAGGCCUUGAACCGUGU